UACGGAGGAUGCAAGCGUUAUCCGGAAUGAUUGGGCGUAAAGCGUCCGCAGGCGGCAGUUCAAGUCUGCUGUCAAAGACCGGGGCUUAACUUCGGAAAGGCAGUGGAAACUGAACAGCUAGAGUAUGGUAGGGGCAGAGGGAAUUCCUGGUGUAGCGGUGAAAUGCGUAGAGAUCAGGAAGAACAUCGGUGGCGAAGGCGCUCUGCUGGACCAUAACUGACACUCAGGGACGAAAGCUAGGGGAGCGAAUGGG
rnacentral:rRNA from 1 species